UUCUGCUACUCAGCCAUUGUUUUCUCUCAAAACAGCCUUCAUCUUCCUAUAAAAAGGACCUAAACUCUUAUCAAUCUUCAUCCCCAGUUCUGCAAUCACUGAUAGCUAUAGGUUCUAAUAGAAAGAACAGUGAAGGUUUUUAAGACAUGCUUAAGGUUAUGAUGAGGAGGAAGAAGAUGAUCGUAGGGCAGGAGAGCCUGAAGUGGCUAUAAACUACUCAUCGGAUCAAUGAUAUACCAGAGUCACAGCACUCCCUCCAUGUAUGGACUUACCCUGGGGCCAAAGUCCAUCAAUACCAAAGCAUGGCUGAUAUAGGAAGCCCAAGUUAUUCCAGCAAUGGGGAGGAGGCAGGCCAAGACUGGCAACGGUUCAGGCCAACAGAGCCGCAGUCACAGCCUGUUUCAAGCCGGCUGUUCCAGCCGCAAUCAACAUCAGCUGGGCUCUCACAGUGGCGAGACAGUGGUGCAUCAACCUCUAACUGAAGGCUAUAAGUUUAUCAGACAUAGAUGAAUGGCUCCCAAACCAUUGAGAAUCACAGCUCCUAUUCAUAGCUAUCACCUGAAAUCUCCACAGGGUACCAACAUGGUGCCAUUUGAUCCUACUUUCUAGACUGAAGAUUUCAUGAUCUGUUUUCACUGAUGGUUCCUCGAGAAAACCAAAGCUUAUACUGAAGAGCAGGCAAAGGGUCAAUGAGAAAACCAAAGCUUAUACUGAUGAUUUGCGGUGGAACAGCAAUUGAAUUUGAUCAGUUGGCACAGAGCUGAGCUGAGGAGGAAAACUUUCAGUGAUACUGUCAAAGACUCGAAGUCUAUUUGUUCAAAUACUGAAAUAAAUUACAAGAUUUGAAGUUUGAAUUCUUGAUGUCAUUACAUGUUUGUGUCGGAUCUCGCAUAAAAAAAUCUAAGUUUUAAAAAAUAAUACAUUAUAUUUUGGCUGUGGUA